UACAACUUUCAACAACGGAUCUCUUGGUUCUGGCAUCGAUGAAGAACGCAGCGAAAUGCGAAAAGUAGUGUGAAUUGCAGAAUUCAGUGAAUCAUCGAAUCUUUGAACGCACAUUGCGCCCCUUGGUAUUCCAUGGGGCAUGCCUGUUCGAGCGUCAUUUUGUACCCUCAAGCACUGCUUGGUGUUGGGCGUUUGUCCUGCAGAGGACUCGCCUGAAAGCGAUUGGCGGCCAACGUAGUCGUGGCAGAGCGCAGCA
rnacentral:rRNA from 1 species